GAAUCCCCUCCAGCGCCGCCACCCCCUUCCCUUGCCCCGGGUCUGGGACUCUCCCACGAGGCCACGAACCCCUCCCCUCCUCCUCGUCGAGCCUCGAUCUAGCCAGAUCCAUCCAAUCCACACACAGAUCUGGCCUAACCAUCCCGCGGCUGCGGUGGCAGGUCACUAGGAUGGCGGUGGGAACAGACCUCGAUGGCGGCAGGUCACCAGGACGGCGGUGGGAACAGACCUCGACGGCGGCGGGUACCUAGAAUCGCUGUUGCACCAACCGCGCGCGUCACAACGGAGGGUGGGGCUUGACGGAUCACCGCCUCACCGAUGUGUUCGCUGCCACCUCUGCCGGAGCAGCGAACGCUGUGCUUGUCGCUAGACCAGCGGGUGCUGGGUGAGCCACGUCGCUUGACUGGGUCAACUCCAAUGGCCCCGGCAUCGGCGGCGAUGAGGCGCCGGACGAUCGGCCCGUGUGGCAGGUGGCGGCGCUCGCAGUGGCAACGGAGAUGCGUGCGUUCGCAGCCCUGUCUGGGUCAUCCUCACUACCGUCCUCGCCUUAGGGUUCAGCAUCGGUCAGUCUCUUUCUUUUCUUUCUGAGCACUAAUGAUCGAUGAAGGUGUUUGUGGCUGCUCAAAUUAAUGUCUGAAUGUGCCAAAUCUGCUGCUAUGUAUAGGAACUAAAACCUGCUGCUCUGAAGGUGCCAGCGUCGCUGAGGGAAUUUAUCAAUGGUUGGUUCAGUACAGUAUCUGCUGCUAUGUUAUUUGCAGCAAGAGAAGAUAUAUGUUCAUGCCAUUUUCUUAACUGUGUCACCCGUUUCAGCUAGUGUACAAACAAACAAAUUAUUGGCAUGCAUGAGUAGUGCACGGACGCAUGUUAGUGUAUCUUAACAGAGAUGGACAAAGUCGUUUUGCGUAAUUAUGCCUGAACAUGCAUGGUAAUAACAAAAUCCUCACCGAUUAUAGAGAGAGCAAGUAGAUACUCUCAUCACUGAGAAAAAGCUUGUUUAGUUGAGAGUGUUCCAUGGGAACCCUCAGUCAGUGUAGCAACACAAACAUGUACAUAAUCAAUUUCUCUGCACCAGCUGAGCUAGUGUCUUACUGACUUCCAAGUCAUAAACAAUGUCAAUAAUGUUGAUAAGUGCCAGCUGCAAAUAAUCUGCAAACACCACAACAGGCUUUCCCUUGUAGCAAUGUCCUUUUAUAUCCAUAUAAUCCUUACCUAAUCAAAUUGUCGUAUCCCCAUAUGCUAGAGGACGAGUUUAGUCAGGCCAGCAACAAUGCGGAGCUACAUAAAUUAAGUAACCUGAUCUGAACUGUGAGCACAUGAUGAUUGUGUGGGUGCAAAUAAAUGGAAGUCGAAAUGCUUUUGGUUGUGACUUACUAUUCCUUAGCCUAUAUGCAUGUCUUAGUUAAACUUGAAAAUCAUUGUUUUCUCCCAUGAUGUUAUGUGAUUCAGUAUUAAAUUAGUAGACUCGAAUAUUUCUUAUUUUGAUCAGUCUUGUGGAAAAUAUGACCUUCAUUGAAUACUCUACUCUUUAUAUGUCGCUCAAGGGUUCCCCGUCGUACCUUUUGGUCUUGUUUUUGUUCAAUCUGCUUUUAUAUGUUAGUCUAGUUAUUAGAUUGAUUUUAGAAUGUUCAUCCAACUUUUGUUGAUCUAAGAAGCAUCUUGCAUGCUAUAGAAGUCAUAUUAGCUAAACUUGGCUUGUAGUUGCCUCUAUGAAAGUGGUUGUAUUUUGAUUUUUAUCUAUUGGUUUGCUGCAGUGGAAUGCUCAUCACCUCAUAGGGAAGAUUUGAACCAAGUGAAUGCAAGGAUUUUUUUGGCAAUGUCUAGCUCAAUCUCACCUUCGAGAAAAUGUAAUAUUUUUCCUCCGGAGUUAGUCUACACUAUCCAGGUUGUAGGCUACUACUGAGAUCCCAUCAAGGUAACACUCUUCCCCCACAUAUUAAUCUGCAAGAAAAGUAUAAACAAGAUUCAAGUGAGCGGUCUUCAUGGGGUUGCUUGUUCGUAUGAUUUGUUCAUGUGCUUCAUUUUGUAAUUCCAGUCAAGUAAAGGCUAAAGAAACAUGCUACCCUCAAACUGAAGUUUUGCAACCAUGUUAAUAUUUAAUGCAAAUUGCCAAGACUCUUCUGGGAGGAUUAUGUUUAUCUCUGUAACUAGUUGUUAGCAUUUUCCUAUUCAACAAUAAAGGUCGACAUCACUACAGGAAAUGGUUCUGAGUGUUACUCCUUCGAUUCAAACUCAUGAAUUAAGUUAAAGUCUACAUAUGAGGUUGUGUUUCAGCCAUGCAUACUUUGUGUGCAUGUGUUGUUUGUGUUGAGUUUGGUUUGGUGGUAUAUGAGCUGUGUUGUAUUGUGGUGCUCAUGUCGGUGCUGUUUAUUUUACUGUGUUAAAGAUAUAUGAUUCACAUCUCUUCAUGUUGGAAGUUAUUAAUGUGAGUUUUUUUUGCACAAAGUGUUGAGCUAACACAAGAAUAAUCUUGCAAUUCCUGAAAUUUCUAUGGGAACAUGUCUUAGUCUUGUGUUAAUUUGAGGUUGUGUUUCGUCCGAUCUUUGUAGAACUAUGUUGUUGUGCGCCUGUGCACUUGUUGAGUCUUUUUGCUAUGCACUUGCACUUGUAGCAUUAUUUUGCUGUGCACUUGUGCACUUGUUGGACCUUGGACCUUGCUGUGUAGAGCAGUUAAUGGAUGAUGUAUUGUAUUUCAUGUGAUGUGUUACUGAAAUGAAAUAUACAAUUUAUCUGCAAUAUUGUAUUCUGUUGUAAUUG
rnacentral:lncRNA from 1 species